GUGGGUAUAGCUCAGUGGUAGAGCGCAUGCUUAGCAUGCAGGAGGUCCUGGGUUCAAUCCCUAGUACCUCCA
rnacentral:tRNA from 1 species